UAACACAUGCAAGUCGAGCGGUAGAGAGAAGCUUGCUUCUCUUGAGAGCGGCGGACGGGUGAGUUAAUGCCUAGGAAUCUGCCUGGUAGUGGGGGAUAACGUUCGGAAACGAACGCUAAUACCGCAUACGUCCUACGGGAGAAAGCAGGGGACCUUCGGGCCUUGCGCUAUCAGAUGAGCCUAGGUCGGAUUAGCUAGUUGGUGAGGUAAUGGCUCACCAAGGCGACGAUCCGUAACUGGUCUGAGAGGAUGAUCAGUCACACUGGAACUGAGACACGGUCCAGACUCCUACGGGAGGCAGCAGUGGGGAAUAUUGGACAAUGGGCGAAAGCCUGAUCCAGCCAUGCCGCGUGUGUGAAGAAGGUCUUCGGAUUGUAAAGCACUUUAAGUUGGGAGGAAGGGCAGUUACCUAAUACGUGAUUGUUUUGACGUUACCGACAGAAUAAGCACCGGCUAACUCUGUGCCAGCAGCCGCGGUAAUACAGAGGGUGCAAGCGUUAAUCGGAAUUACUGGGCGUAAAGCGCGCGUAGGUGGUUUGUUAAGUUGGAUGUGAAAUCCCCGGGCUCAACCUGGGAACUGCAUUCAAAACUGACUGACUAGAGUAUGGUAGAGGGUGGUGGAAUUUCCUGUGUAGCGGUGAAAUGCGUAGAUAUAGGAAGGAACACCAGUGGCGAAGGCGACCACCUGGACUAAUACUGACACUGAGGUGCGAAAGCGUGGGGAGCAAACAGGAUUAGAUACCCUGGUAGUCCACGCCGUAAACGAUGUCAACUAGCCGUUGGAAGCCUUGAGCUUUUAGUGGCGCAGCUAACGCAUUAAGUUGACCGCCUGGGGAGUACGGCCGCAAGUUAAAACUCAAAUGAAUUGACGGGGCCCGCACAAGCGGGGAGCAUGUGUUAAUUCGAAGCAACCGAAGAACUUACAGGCUUGAAUCAAUGAAUUUCUAGAGAAGAUGGUGCCUUCGGAAAUUGAGACAGGUGCUGCUGG
rnacentral:rRNA from 1 species